GGUAAAAAGCAUGUUGAAAUAAAUAAAUGAGCUGGAAUCAGUACUGAAGAGGGGAUGACAGGAGAAAAACCUCUUGUGAUGAUGAAAGAACACAGAGAAGCUGUUCCAAGAGCACUGUACAUCAAUACUGUAGAAAGAAACAUCCCAGUGGUUCCCAGCAGAGGACAGCAAAUCCUAACUCCAUACAUUUCCAUUCAUGCUUCCCCCAGGAAUUGAACACCAAAAUUGAGCCUAUAGUAUACAGCAUUCAUUGAACAGGUUUUGAGUAAGAAAAGUGAUGCAUUAUAUUUGAUUGUCUUCUGCAACAACCCAUAAACUGUCAAGGCUUGAGAGAUUCCAGCAAUAGUCAGGCCAUCAGGAAAUAAGUCCAUUAAAAGCACAGCAGCUCACUGGCUGACUCUCAGCGUGCUGGGAUUUCCCACUGGCUCGAAAAAGGAGGCACUCUGGCAUCCGACAUCCACAGCCUGCUCUUAAGACAGGAGCACAGAUGAAGAGUAAGAACAGUAAAUUAAUCUGGGAUGUAUUUCCUCCCUGCUCAGAUUUUUACAAGGAAGAAAAGAACAGACAAGAUAACAAAAUAAAUCUCGAAGAGCCAAGAGUCACAAAAAGACUAGCGUGCCUGAAUUGGCAGCUGCUUAAAUCCAAAACUUAGGUCUUCAGACCUCCAGCUCAGCUGUUGCCUACUUCUGAAUGCGAUUUUUCACUUGUUAAGUUCCCUACAUGCCUAAUUAUCUGGCAUUGGGCAGAUGAAGUCACUGAAGUCCAGACAAUGCUGAUGUUUUCCUUAUACCUACUUGCCAGUUUCAAAUAAAGAGGAUUCCCCACCUACCUGCCCUGCAGGGACCAAAUCUUGCAGGCAGUCUCACAGCAAACAACACAAUGCAAGUUGUAGUGGGUGCAUGGGGGAAAGAGGGGCUGGUUGUCUUCCUUCCAUAAAAAUCAAAUGGGGAAAAUCUGGGCUUGAAUCCCUGCCCUGCCUGGGACCCACAUCUCCCAGAGUAGCUGGGAAAAAAGACAGGUGCCAGUCAAGGUGAUUAAUACAAAAUGAAAGCUUCCACAGCUUCCAAAAUACCCUAUACCUUGGCAGUUAAAGACUCUCCUGGGUCGCAAGAGAUGUGGGUGCAACUCCCCUCAGCCAGAAGAAAAAAAAGUCUCCUGCUCCCCAGAGAAGUGAUCUAUGCCCUAGGUUUUUAGAUAAAUGGGUCAGAUUCAUAG